rnacentral:rRNA from 1 species
CAGCAGCCGCGGUAAUACGAAGGGGGCUAGCGUUGUUCGGAAUUACUGGGCGUAAAGCGCACGUAGGCGGACAUUUAAGUCAGGGGUGAAAUCCCGGGGCUCAACCCCGGAACUGCCUUUGAUACUGGGUGUCUAGAGUAUGGAAGAGGUGAGUGGAAUUCCGAGUGUAGAGGUGAAAUUCGUAGAUAUUCGGAGGAACACCAGUGGCGAAGGCGGCUCACUGGUCCAUUACUGACGCUGAGGUGCGAAAGCGUGGGGAGCAAACAGGAUUAGAUACCCGAGUAGUCCCUGUCUCUUAUAC